rnacentral:rRNA from 1 species
UGGGGAAUCAUGGUCAAUGGGCGAAAGCCUGAACCUGCGACGCCGCGUGAGUGAUGAAGGUCGUAAGAUCGUAAAACUCUUUUCAGGGACAUUAAAGCUCCGGCUCUAACAUAGCCUGGAGUCUGACUAUCCCUGGAAUAAGCCCCAGCCAACUACGUGCCAGCAGCUGCGGUAAUACGUAGGGGGCGAGCGUUAUUCGGAAUUACUGGGUGUAAAGGGUAUGUAGGCGGCCUGACAAGUCGCGUGUCAAAGUCCAGCGCUCAACGCUGGGUUCGCACGCGAUACUGUCAGGCUUGAGGACUGGAGAGGUGAGCGGAAUUCCCGGUGUAGUGGUAAAAUACGUAGAUAUCGGGAGGAACACCAGCGGCGUAGGCGGCUCACUAGACAGUUUCUGACGCUAAGAUACGAAAGCGUGGGGAGCAAACAGG